CGACACCCUUAAAACCAGGAACUUUUCGGCACUUCCUCGUUAUUUUCUUUUUAAUUUUCAUUAACAUAAAUAUCCUUCUACUACUUGUUUCGAAAUUGCUAUUUGAAAGACAUGAGGAAAUGUUGUCGGUGGAAUACCCGAAACUGUAUGUAUGUAUGUGUCGGCCAGCUAGAAAUAGCAGCCAAAUCUCUUUUAUAUCACACAUUUUACCGACUUGAUGAGUUAAAUACACAUUGGAUAAUGUAGUCUUGAUAUACUAUGUCUGAAAAUAACAAGACAUGAUAGUCAUGCCUGGAACGGCUUGGAUCGUUACCCGCGAUUAAACAUUAACAAUGAACUGUUAUGGAUGUAUUCCUUACUCUAAUCUUUAUCCGUUGCGUAAGCUAUCGAAUUGUGUCCAUGCUGGAGCACCACCUUCAAGUGUAUUAGUUAACUACAGCAACUCCAUUACUUUGUCUGAUACGUAUCAAACUUAUCGGCCACAAGAAGACGGGAGGCAUAAAUGAAUCAGGCAAGAUUAGGACUCAGAACAAAACAAAUCCAUAUUCAGGCACCACAAGACCUAACCCAUGCAAGCAUGGAAAAGGAGAUGUUAAAACU
rnacentral:lncRNA from 1 species